UACAGAGGGGGCAAGCGUUGUUCGGAAUUACUGGGCGUAAAGUGUGCGCAGGCGGCGUUGCAAGUCGAGUGUGAAAUCCCCGAGCUUAACUUGGGAAUUGCGCUCGAAACUACGAUGCUCGAGUGUGGCAGAGGAAGGUGGAAUUCCACGUGUAGCGGUGAAAUGCGUAGAUAUACGGAGGAACACCUGCGGCGAAGGCGGGUAGCUGGGCCAACACUGACGCUGAGACGCGAAAGCUAGGGGAGCAAACGGG
rnacentral:rRNA from 1 species